GAUGAAGAACGUAGCGAAAUGCGAUAAGUAGUGUGAAUUGCAGAAUUCAGUGAAUCAUCGAAUCUUUGAACGCACAUUGCGCCCCUCGGUAUUCCGUGGGGCAUGCUUAUUUGAGCGUCAUUUAACCCCUCAAGCCUCGCUUGGUGUUGGAGACUGGCGGGGCGCAUGCGCCCGGAGCCACUCCCAAAUACAAUGACGGCGGCGACGAUGACCCCCGGCACACUGAGCUUCUCACCGAGCACGUGCUGGAAGGGUCUUGUGGCCACGGUCUGCCUCCCCUCUGGGAGAAACGGAUUUCAUCCACCAAGGUUGACCUCGGAUCAGGUAGGGAUACCCGCUGAACUUAAGCAUAUCAAUAAGCGGAGGA
rnacentral:misc_RNA from 1 species